rnacentral:rRNA from 1 species
UGAACGCUAGCGGCAGGCUUAACACAUGCAAGUCGAGGGGUAACAUGAGUGCUUGCACUUGAUGACGACCGGCGCACGGGUGCGUAACGCGUAUACAAUCUGCCUUACACUGGGGGAUAGCCUUUGGAAACGAAGAUUAACACCCCAUAGUAUCAUUGAGUGGCAUCACUUAAUGAUUAAAGGUUACGGUGUAAGAUGAGUAUGCGUCCUAUUAGUUUGUUGGUGUGGUAACGGCACACCAAGACUACGAUAGGUAGGGGCCCUGAGAGGGGGACCCCCCACACUGGUACUGAGACACGGACCAGACUCCUACGGGAGGCAGCAGUGAGGAAUAUUGGACAAUGGGCGAAAGCCUGAUCCAGCCAUGCCGCGUGCAGGAAGACGGCCCUAUGGGUUGUAAACUGCUUUUAUACAGGAAGAAACACUCCCUCGUGAGGGAGCUUGACGGUACUGUAAGAAUAAGGAUCGGCUAACUCC